ensembl:lncRNA
GAAAAGCUUUCUUACCUGCAGCAUACCGGAGAUCAACACUGGCCCUCUAUCCAAGCCUGGAGCCAAGACAGCUGUCACCCACUUUUUUGACACUGCCUGGCCACUUCCGGUGCCGCUGGGAGGAAGAGGCGGGUCCUAGAUGGAUGGCGCUUGUGCAGUCAGUCUGGUGGAUAUAGAGCCGACGGUGGCAGCAUGUUGUCGGCUGCUAGAGUUGUCGGCUUCCGGCGGCGUUUUCGGCAGCGGUACUGGCCUGGAGAGUGCGGGAACGAAGACAUUUUCAUGGAUAUGAAACUGGAUGCAGUUGAAGUUCAUCUGCUGGGUAAUCUUCCAUUUCUGGGGACUGCUUGACUUCCUGCUAAACACAGCUGGGACUUCUUCCUGGAGAGGAGCAACUGCUCCAUGCCAAUGUGUGUCCUGUGGCCAGUGAGGAGUGCGCCUGUGCCUGGCGCUUUGACCCAGAAGUGCACCCGCAGGCGCCGCCACUUCUGCCCUCGAUGCACUGGUGGGAGUCAGCGCCGUGUCCGCUCCUGCCCAGAGCCUUGAGGAGCCGCCUUCAACGCUGGUGGCUGAACCUGAGGAGACCCAGGGCCCUGCAGACUCAGGCUGGGAUCAGACUGCACACACAGAGGAGAAAGCAGAAGCUUAGAGAAAUGCCAAGAAUCCCUCAGUGCCCUGUUCCAGCCUGCCCCAAGAUUCUGACACCUCACAGCGCGGUCCUCUGCUUCGGCCCCUUCCCGAAGACUACACCUCAGGACUCGGUUCCUGUUCCUGAGGAACAGAAAUGCUCUUUGUGAGGGGAUUCGGCACGGUGGACUUCCCGUCACGGG